GACGAACCGUGCGAACGUUGUUCGGAAUCACUGGGCUUAAAGGGCGCGUAGGCGGGCUGUCAAGUCUGGGGUGAAAUCCCACGGCUCAACCGUGGAACUGCCUCGGAUACUGACGGCCUUGAGGGGGGUAGGGGCGUGCGGAACUGUGGGUGGAGCGGUGAAAUGCGUUGAUAUCCACAGGAACUCCGGUGGCGAAGGCGGCACGCUGGACCUCUUCUGACGCUGAGGCGCGAAAGCCAGGGGAGCAAACGGG
rnacentral:rRNA from 1 species